ACACUCGUGUUUUUCUUCAAAUCGCAUAAAACUUUUGCCUUUUACUAAAGGUUUCCAAUGAGAGGAGCAACAUAAGUUUCAACUAUUUAUUUGUAUGUGGGGAGUGGUGGCACAG